UUAAAGGUUUCUGAUGCUUUUAUUUUCAGAGGCAAUCAGCAAUUCUGGCUGCCUUCAUUGUGGGUUCAUUCAGGGCAGCUUCAUCUGAACUGGCUUGCAGGGGCUGUAGCUACCUCCUAUUCUGUAAGUCAAGGCCUUUGUAGUCCUUUCAGGUGGGAAGAAAGGGAGUGGGUUGCUCUGCCAUUGCUGAAAAAUGCAGCCCAGGAACGCAGCCGUGCGUGGUCCCCAGAGGCUCCCCAGGCUGCCUCAUCCUGCCACUGCUGGCUCAGCAGCGUUCCCUGAAACUGAGGGCUGCCCAGCCCCACGAGCAGUGAUGGGACACAGUUCUUGGACUGCAGCUCUCCCUGUGUCCCCUGUGGGAUGCAUUCUGGGUUGGGAUGGGCUGGAAUGGGUGGCUGUGGGAUAGAACCUGGUGUGGAAGGGCAGGGAAGGAGCUGAACAGCUGCUCCCUCCUUUUCCUCCUGCCGUGGGCUUCAGGAAGCACCCUGAGAGGAGUCAGGUUCCUCCUGCUCCCACUCCCUUCAGGCCUGGAGUCUGUUUGGUGGAAAGAGUGAAAAGGACAGCGUAUUACAGACCAGGUAUGUGCCAUGGUCAGUAAUUUUCUCAUCCUUCUUUGACAAGCUCCCCCAAACCCUCUCUCACAGGAUCUCCAGACAGAGGCUGGAGAACAUCAGCCAUCCCUUUCAUGGAGCCAGCAGCCUCCCUGUGGACUCAGGUCCUGCCUCUCACAUGGCUGCAUGAGCAUUGCUCUCUCCCUGGCACCCUGCCCGGGCACUGCCACAGCUCAGUGGUGGCUCUGAGUCCUGAGGGCCUCAGCAGCAGAGACCCACUGCACCCUCAGAUUCUUGGCAUCCCCCUGCAACCCUGUGCCACCCACCCAGUGCCAGUCAACGUGCCACUCGCCCGAGACACGCCUGCAAUAGCUGGUCUGCACACUUUUGCCUCUGAAAGCAGAGCAGUGGGUGAUGCUGGAGAGCAGUGAGGCAGAGGGAAGGGGUGCAGGACUCCAGCUUGCCUCUCGCCGUGUGUCCCGCUGGCCGGGCGAGCUGUUUGCUUGUGCUGCUGCAGCCAGUCCUGGGAUGGUGCAAACCAGCGGCUGCCAAUUGACGUCAGAGGAGCACUGGUGGUUUGCGUGAGCUGAGGGACUGCUUCUACUCAAGCUUUCAAGGGAAGGGUCCAUGGGAAAGGUGAAGCUGGAAAAUGGGGCCACCUCCUCAUAUGAAGCACAGAGAAGAUGGAGUGCUGCUGACUGAUGGACCCCCUCCAAACCAAGAUGUGGUAAUUCAUAAGCCAAUGGCAUUGUUUUCAGAGAUGGUGCAAAUAUGUUCGAUGGGGAAAGCAGAAAAUGGACAAAUGUUGGUUGUUCUGUGAUAUAGAAGUCCUGGUGGAAGUCCCUGGAUUCAGCCCAGCAGAAGACAGAAUCAGGCCUCCCUAAUAGAUGGGAUACUAAGCCAAGACUGCACCAUGUGCCUGAUUCUCCCUUGGCAGGCAUUUUAUUUAGCUAACAACUUCUAUCCAAAGUCAGGACACAACAGCCUAAUCUAUGCUCUAGGUACAGCAUGGGAAAAUUUGUCUGUUGUGUUCCUAAAGGGAAGGAAAUAUCAGAAUCUGAAUACACAGGCAGCUCUUAUGAUAAUCCUUGGAGGCAAAGGGACAUGCAUGGGGGACUCAGGGCAAUUUCCAAAAAGCUUAUUAUUCUCACAGGAUGUUUGCAGAGGAAUCUCUCUGCGAGCUGCUGAAAAUGAACACGUUCCCAAAUAUCAAAGGUGAGCCAAAUGCAAGCACUGCCUCUGAGGGAGCACAAGACAGUGAGUGCUGAGAUUCCAUCAUCAGAUUAAUCACAUGCCAGACCUGGAAGCAAUUUCAGCAUCACAAAUACAACUGUGUGGUGGGCUCUGCCCAGGAACCAGGACUUGCCACUGGAAAACUGUUUUUUAACAGCUUCAGAGAGACAGGUACUGCAAUUGCUGCUUAAAUAGGAGAAAAGGGAAGUGGGGAGAGACAGUGUACAAUGACCUCAGAGCAUGGCAGCUCAUCCUCCUUCAUGCUCCUCAUAUGAGGAAGAGACAUUUUAGCAAUAUUACUGGCAAUAGUUGUCCUCUGUGACUAAAUUGAAAUAAAUAACAGGAAGACGGAUUAAGUUCCUCAUGAAAAACGCUGCUCAUAGUUAUCAGAGGUGGAAGCAGAGAGGUUUGCAGAGGUGGAUCAGGAGGCCCUUUUUGAGGGUGGUGGUGGCUCAGGCAUGAGCCCCUGCAGGGAACAGGAACCAUGGUGUGUCACGGCGUGGGCUGGGCGUGUGGGAGCAGAGGGCGUCACUACCCCGGGCUGCAGGGAGUAUUCUGUCAAAUGUCAGCACAGAGCCCAGGAACUCCACAGGAUGGCUCAAGAUUUUCCUGUGUGGCACUCACUGGCUGUUGCUGUCCCCCUGAAGGGCACAGCCACCCUCUCUUUGGGUGGCCUCCCUUUCUCAGGGACACAUGGUGUGCUGCGGGUACCCACAGCAGUCUCGGGAAGGGACUUCUGCCGAAAGCGGCUCUCACACCUCUUUCUUUAACAGGAUCCAGGGCUCAAGCAAGUGUGAAAUGAAAGAAGCAGCUGCUGAGAGGGAGGAAGGCAGAGAGGACUGCACACGUCUCCUCCUGUUUUCCACCCCAAGGGAGUUGCUUGCAGUGGUCA